rnacentral:misc_RNA from 1 species
GAAAUGCGAUAAGUAGUGUGAAUUGCAGAAUUCAGUGAAUCAUCGAAUCUUUGAACGCACAUUGCGCCCCUUGGUAUUCCAUGGGGCAUGCCUGUUCGAGCGUCAUUUGUACCCUCAAGCUCUGCUUGGUGUUGGGUGUUUGUCCCGUCUCCGCGCGUGGACUCGCCCCAAAGUGAUUGGCAGCCGGCGUACUGGUCCCGGAGCGCAGCACAUUUCGCGCAAACGAGUGCCUUGGUACGGCGGCGUCCAUAAGCCCCUCUCUCACGCUCUUGACCUCGGAUCAGGUAGGGAUACCCGCUGAACUUAAGC